rnacentral:ncRNA from 1 species
CUUCAUCAAGCGAAAAUAGGUUUUACUUAACUGUAGAUUAAAAGGGAAUCGUGUGAGAAUCACGAGCUGUCGCGCAACUGUAAGUAACAUUGAAUAUACUAGUCAUAUUAUGCUCACUGAUAUAAAAUCGGGAAGGGCGAUUAGUGUAGUUAUAAGUCAGGAGACCUGCCAUUUUUGAAUUGACAAU